rnacentral:rRNA from 1 species
UACGUAGGGUGCGAGCGUUGUCCGGAAUUAUUGGGCGUAAAGAGCUCGUAGGCGGUUUGUCGCGUCUGCCGUGAAAGUCCGGGGCUCAACUCCGGAUCUGCGGUGGGUACGGGCAGACUAGAGUGAUGUAGGGGAGACUGGAAUUCCUGGUGUAGCGGUGAGAUGCGCAGAUAUCAGGAGGAACACCGAUGGCGAAGGCAGGUCUCUGGGCAUUAACUGACGCUGAGGAGCGAAAGCAUGGGGAGCGAACAGG